CAAAAAAAACCUCACAACAAGAGCCUUCAUCAAUUUAUCCUAUGCUGUCGGUAUUAUGUGUUAAACCUUUAAAGAUUUAAAAUCUCAAAUUAGAUCGAAGGUAAAUUUGUGUGAGUAAACUUCAGAAUCAGGACGCAGGAAGUGUACCAACACUGAAUAUUGAAAAGACGAUGUAGAUUAUAAUUACGACUCCGUUCCCUCGUCACGGUGUCCUUACCAUUGUGACGAGCUUCUAAAGACCUACAUCAGGUGUUGGCAUCAAGGGCAGUUAAAGCCAGUUAUAUUCCUGACAUGCAUAAUUUGAAUACAUUUGCACUUGUGAUACAAAUAUCGCAACCAAGAUGUUCAUUAAUUCCAUGAUCAGAGAUACAGAUAUUAACUCUGAUACAACACAUUCUGCAGAGCUGGUGAAGAUUGUAAUUUUUUUGUUGAUGUGUGUGUGUGUGUGUGUGUGUGUGUGUGUGAUCGACACUUGGUGAUGCCGAUGUUGACAAAAUCUCCUAAUUUGACAUUUUAAAAUUUCUAUUUUGGACAUGAUGAGAAGUGAUGUCUAAACUUAACUUUCUAUUUAUGUUGUCUUUUUCUUCAGGUCAUUAGGAGAGUAUUGCAAAGCCCAGAGGUUUUGUUUUUAUCAAACGCCCUGAUGAAGGAGGAAUGUUUCCACCCUGUGGGAAGACGAGAAGAACCACUGACUGUUGUACAGCCCUGACCGUCUUCCCACAGGGUGAAAA